AGAGAGAGAGAGAGAGAGAGAGAGAGAGAGAGAGGUCAAUGUGAGAGUGGAACAUUGAUCAUUUGCCUCCUGUAUGUGCCCUGGCCAGAGGUUGAACCCCCAGCCUGGGUAUAUUUCCUGACCAGUGACCCUUGGGGUCACGGGAUGGCGCUGAGCAACACCAGCCAGGGAGACUGUUGUAUGUAAUUUUGAGGGAUAUUGUUCCUCCAUGUAGACAAGGAGAGAUUUUUUACAGAAGUGAUGUAGCAUUUUACCAUUCAGAUUUAUCACUGAAUAGUUUAGUCUGCCAGGCUUGAUUCUCUUUCUGCUAAAUUUAACUAGUGGAAUAACUUACCAGUAUUGGACGGUCGUGUAAAAGUAAUGAAUUACCUAUUAGCUUGCUGGUUAAGAUGGUGCUUUGACAGUUCAGUUGAGGUUUCAUUAACAACUGUCUGCUGUGCUUUCUCUCUAAGUCAGGGUCCCAGUUUACCUGGCAAUAUGAUCAUGGGGUAGCAUGAGAUACAUUCAUUGCCUAUGAUAGAAUAUUGCUCAUGGGUUAUCAAAGCAUCAUAUAUAAUUUGACCUUUAUCAGAUGCCAAGGCUUCCAUAUACUAGUAUAUGGUCAUUUUCAUAAUGUAAUGCAAAACCUAAACACAAAACAGUGCACAAAAAGAAACCUGAGCCUGUGGGUGAGGCUGUCUGAAUUGAAUACCUUUUUGUCUGUAGUUCAUUGUUGCCAGAAGAAAGUAUGUUGUGCAUAGAGAGAUAUGACAACUCUGGGACAAAGAGUAUUACAGUUUACAGUAUAGAUUUCAGGGUCUUAUGAGGUGUAUACUUUUGACAGUUGGAGGAAGUUAACUACAUGAGGGAGGUUUGAGAACUGCUAAAUCCAGGCAGUUUUAUUAUUGGCAGCCUGAACUAUUAGAGAUUGAACUAAUGGCACAUAUUGCCAUUUUGAUAAAAGUGAGUCUGGGAAAAGUUGUUGUUUUGUUUUUUUACUUAUCUGGUUAAUUGAAAGCUGGAAUUCAUUUGGUCUGGUGCCUUUGUACUCCAAGUAAAGUUGGAGAACUUUGAAUUUUAUUCUCAUACCUUUUGCGGGUUGCUGUUAUUUAAGUCUUUCAAAACUUAAGCAUCACUGUAUUUAUGUUUAGUUACUAGCUAUGUGAUAUUGAUAAAUUAUUUAAUCUCUCUCUUGCUCAUCCACAGAGUGAGGAUAAAAAUAGCAUCUAUCUCAUAGGAUUAAAUGAGGCAAUCCUUGUAAACCAAUGAAUACAUUGUCUACCAUACAGUAAGCACUCAAAAAAUAAUAGCUUUUUAAAGUGAUAAAUAUUGUUGAUAGAAAUCAAACUGUUAUAUUAAUGUGCAUAUAAGAGGUUUCAUAUAUGGUCAGAUUUACCAGGUGAAAUCAACAUGCAGGCUAUUUUUGAAGGCAUGACUUUAAAUAUCAUAGUGUCCACUUAGUUGUGCUAUAUGCUAACAAAUACAUAAAAAUGUACAUACUUGGUAGUAUUCUAGUCAUAUUAUCUCACUGUUUUAUUGUAGAAAGUAUUAUUACUUUAUAUCCUGGGAAGGAAAUAAAUAUUUUCUUUUCAGAAUAUAACAUGAAGAACAUCCUUAGCAUCAUCAAAGUUCAACUUUACUGGAAAUUCAUUUUACUUGUGUUUGGAAGAAAAAGCAUGAAUUGCUAAAUAAAAUUCCAAGGUGGGGAAAUACGUGUGAUUUAAUGAAAAAUUAUUCAGUGUAAAUCCUUAUGCAAUGCAAAGAUGGUUUAGCUUGCUCAUCUUGUGAAAUUUAGAGGCAUCAUUUUUUUUCCCCCUGAUGUUUUCUGUGCUCCUCUUACUCCUCAAAUAGCAAACUGUAAUUUGGAAAAAUGGGAAAUGCUUUUGGAAUAAGUUUGGGGGGAAACCCUGGAAUUAGUUGCAUCAGAAAGAUGUAAGCUAAAGUAUAGUAAAGUGUAUUUUACUAUUAACUUUGUUUUACAGGUUAAGAGUCUGUAGUAUUGAAGUUUCUCCAUUAGCCAAGAUUAACAGCCACAGCUGGAUUCUUGGGGUGUGGGGACAGGGAGGGUCUGCUUUGUGAAAAGAGCUUUGAAGAAGCAGAGUCUGCACCAUAAAAGGAAAUGGUUGCUCUUCUAGACAUAACAAAGCAUUUGUGUGAAACUAGAAAUGUGGAAAUCUAUAUUGUUAAUUUUAACUACAAAAAGUGUACUUUUAGAAACUGCAGGUUCCUGGUCAUAAAGUAAAGAAAGCAAAGAGAGUGAGAGAAUAAAAGUAACAAAAUCUGAUACUGAGUUGGUUUCUUGGUGAUAGAAACUCCAUAGCCUGUAACAUUGGAAGUUGUUUUGUACUUAGGAUGUACUUUUAGAAAUUAGGUUCAUGGUCAUAAAGUAGAGAAAGCAGAAUUAGAGAAUAAAUAAAAGUAACACAAUCUGAUGAUACUGAGAUGAUUUUUUGAUGAUGAAAACUCCAUAGCCUGUGAUAUUGGAAGUCAUUUUCUACCUACUAGUAGGCUCUUGAUAAGAUUAUCCAAAUUAUUUUAG